AUGUUGGCUGAAUUUGACCCAGUUAUAAAAGAGCAUGUUGACCGCAUCACGAAUGAUAAAAUUCGUGAUCAUUAUCUUGGCCCCUCCAUACAGAAUGAGUUAAUCAAUUUGCUCGUUGCCGCAAUCAAGUUGAAAAUCAUUGAGAAGGUAAAAGAAGCAAAGCACUUCUCAGUUAUACUUGACUGUACUCCUGAUGCAAGCCACCAAGAACAAAUGUCUUUGAUAAUUAGGUAUGUUGGUGCAUCCCCAGAUUCUUUUUGCAUUGAAGAAUCCUUCUUAUGUUUUUUGGAUGUGAAUGAUACCACCGGGCAAGGAUUGUUUGAUGUUUUACAGAAGGAAUUGAAGAAUCUUGACCUUGAUGUGGACAAUGUGAGAGGUCAGGGAUAUGAUAAUGGGUCGAAUAUGGAAGGAAAAAAUAAAGGAGUACAAAACAAAGUAUUGGAAAUAAACCGAAGAGCCUUUUAUUCAGCUUGUGGUUGCCAUAGUCUGAAUUUGGCACUAUGUGAUAUGGCAAAGUCUUGUCGUAAAGCAACGGAUUUUUUUGGAGUUAUCCAGCGUAUCUAUACAAUAUUUGCUAAUUCUACUAAGAGAUGGCAAAUUCUCAAAGAUAACAUACCAGGAUUGACUCUCAAGUCAUUAUCAUCUACUCGUUGGGAGAGUCAUGUUGAUAGUGUUCAGGCUAUAAGGUUUCAGCUACCGGAAAUAAGGGAGGCCUUACUGCAAGUGGCUGAAAUAUCAAUCAUCAUCUGGUAUGAAAUAUUAUCCACUGUUAAUUUGAUUAGCAAAGAGUUACAGUCAAAGGAUAUGCUUAUUGAUAUUGCAAUUGAAUCUAUAAAAGGCUUGCUUUCCUUUAAAAAGUAUAGAGAAACUGGCUUUUCAAAAGCAUUGGAAGUUGCCAAAAAAAUUACAGUGGAGAUGGAUAUUCAUCUAGAGUUCCGCACCAAGCGUAAAAUCAAAAGGAAAAAACAAUUUGAUGAGGGUGAAGAUGAUGCAUCUAUCGACUCACAAUCUACAGAGGAGUCAUUUAGGGUCAAUUAUUUUAUACGUGUUGUUGAUCAAGCUAUAACUUCACUUACCAUUAGAUUUGAACAAUAUGAGGGGUAUGAAAAGAUAUUUGGUUUGUUGUUUACUUCAGAUAGGCUGCGAUCACUAGAUGACAAGAGUUUGAUGGCUGCUUGUGUUAAUCUUGAAGAUGCACUUAAGAGUGGAGAACAUACAGAUAUUGAUGGACUUGAAUUGUGUUGUGAGCUAAUUUUCAUCCAGGAUUUACUUCAUAAAUCAAUGGGUCCUCUUGACAUUCUGAAUUAUUUGAAGAAGCGAUCCACAAUCUAUCCUAAUGUUGUUAUUGCAUACAGAAUUUUGUUGACCAUUCCUGUAACGGUUGCAUCUGCUGAAAGGAGUUUUUCUAAACUCAAGUUGUUGAAGUCCUGCUUGCGUUCUACUAUGACACAAGAAAGACUUAAUGGAUUGGCGACAAUAGCACUUGAAAAUGAUGUCUUGGAGAAGAUAAAGUACGAAGAUAUGAUUGAAGAUUUUAUUUCAAGAAAUGCCAGACGGAUGCUUCUUUUUGAUAGAACAUGA
rnacentral:rRNA from 1 species